GACGAACGCUGGCGGCGUGCUUAAUACAUGCAAGUCAACUGAACUUAAGGUAGCAAUAUUUUAAGGAGGUGGCGCACGGGUGAGUAACACGUAGGUAAUCUGCCUUUAGGUCUGACACAACCUACCGAAAGGUAGGCUAAUAUCAGAUGAUGCAGCGGCUCGACAUCGAGACAGUUGUUAAACCUUCGGGGCCUAAAGAUGAGCCUGCGUCUGAUUAGGUAGUUGGCGGAGUAAUAGCCCACCAAGCCUGCGAUCAGUAGCUGGUCUGAGAGGAUGAUCAGCCACACUGGAACUGAGACACGGUCCAGACUCCUACGGGAGGCAGCAGUAAGGAAUAUUGGACAAUGGUCGGAAGACUGAUCCAGCCAUGCCGCGUGAAGGACGAAGGCGCUCAGCGUUGUAAACUUCUUUUGUACGGGAACAAAACCACCAAUGCGUUGGUGUCUGAGGGUACCGUAAGAAUAAGCACCGGCUAACUCCGUGCCAGCAGCCGCGGUAA
rnacentral:rRNA from 1 species